UUUAUCAGAGAGUUUGAUCCUGGCUCAGGAUGAACGCUGGCGGCGUGCUUAACACAUGCAAGUCGAACGGGAAACCUUUUAUUGAAGCUUCGGCAGAUUUAGCUGGUUUCUAGUGGCGGACGGGUGAGUAACGCGUGGGUAACCUGCCUUAUACAGGGGGAUAACAACCAGAAAUGGUUGCUAAUACCGCAUAAGCGCACAGGACCGCAUGGUC
rnacentral:rRNA from 1 species